rnacentral:rRNA from 1 species
UACGUAGGGUGCGAGCGUUAAUCGGAAUUACUGGGCGUAAAGCGUGCGCAGGCGGUUCGUUGUGUCUGAUGUGAAAGCCCCCAGCUCAACUGGGGAACUGCACUCUAUACUGGCGAGCUGGAGUGAGAUAGGGGUGUGUGGAACUGCCAGUGGAGCGGUGAAAUGUGUUGAUAUUGGCAGGAACGCCGGUGGCGAAAGCGACACACUGGGUCUCAACUGACGCUGAGGCACGAAAGCCAGGGGAGCGAACGGG